rnacentral:lncRNA from 1 species
UAGCUCAGGGACAAGAAAUUAUGUUGUUAUCAGUUCUCAAGGCAAAUAGAAUGGAGAAAACAGCACUCUGCUCACUUCGUAAGGCAACUCUUGAGAAAACACCACCAAGCAAUUCAUGAAUUCCCAGCAGACGCUGACCGCGUGUCCUGCCAGUCUAACUCAAUUCUGAUGCUAUCUACCUGGAGAGAGAGCCAUCUCCCACAGGUGAAGAGCUCCGUCCUACAAGUCUGCCUCCACUCCAGAUGUCAGUUGGAAGUCCAGAUUGUGACCUGUGCUUCUGACCAACUGGCUAUAGAUCGGAGGUUCCCACAACCCCCUCCUUGGGUUCAAUUAUUUUGCUAGAGUGGCUCACAGAACUCAGGAAACCAGUUUACCUACUACAUUACCACUUUAUUACAAAGGAUAUUAAAGGAUACAAGUGAAUAGCCAGAUGAAGAGAUACAUAGGCAAGGUCCAGAAGGUUCCAAAUCACAGGAGCUUCUGCCCUUGUGGAGUGUGGGGUGUGCCACCCUCCUGGCACACAGAUAUGUUUUGGUUUACCAACCUGGAAGCUCUCCAAACCCCAUUCUUCUGAGUUUUUAUGGAGGCUUCAUGACAUAGGCAUGAUUGAUUAAAUCAUUGGCCCCUGGUGAUUGAACUCAAUCUUCUCCAGUGCCUCUCCCCUCCUGCAGGUGGUCACUGGGUAGGACUAAAAGUUCCAAGCCUCUAAUCACGUGGUUGGUUCCCUUGGCAACCAGCCCUCAUCCUUAGGUUACCUAGGGGCUUUCCAAAGCUUGCCUCAUUAACAUAACAAAAGACACCUUUGUUGUUCUCAUUGCUUAGAAAUUUCCAAGGGCUUUAGGAGCUCUGUGCCAGGAAUGGAGACAAAGACCAAGUGGAUAUUUCUUAUUAUAAAUCACAGUAUCAGAGGUUGCCUGUUAUUGCUUUUAUUGGUGUAGAGAGUUUUCUUUUUAUGUCUGUAUUUAUGGAUAUUUUAUAAGAAGUUAAAGAAGUCUGCAUAAUUGCAUAACAUUUUGAAAAGAAAUUGUUUACAUAAUAACUUCUAAGAUUAUAUACAUAUCAGUCACUAACAGUCCAAUGUAUGCAGGUACAAAGUCAUUGGCAUAGUAAGUAGCUGUUAUGCAAGAAUAGCUGGAAUGAGAGGAAUGUCACUGUCUUAGAUAAACAACUCACAAUGACCUGGCAAAGAGGGGGCAACGGGAAAUGAAUACCC